rnacentral:tRNA from 1 species
GCCUGUAGCUCAGUGGUUAGAGCAGGGGACUCAUAAUCCCUUGGUCGUGGGUUCAAAUCCCUCCGGGCC